rnacentral:lncRNA from 10 species
GGAAUGGCAGGUGUAAGGAGCAGUUACCACACCUAAGGCUUAUGGAGAGAGCCUGAGGUAGAGCCUCCGCCCCAUCCACCUCAGUCUCGGGGCUGAAUUCCAGACCUUGUUGGAGAAGGCAUGGCCAUGGCUCACUGGAUGGCAGGGAAGCUGCUGUGGUGCUGUACAAGAAGAACCUGCUGGAAACCUGCCCUUGAGAGUGCCAGGGAAAGCUGUUCACAGAGCGUUGUCUCUAUGACACAAGGCACUAGACUAUGAGAUUGCCCUGUGGGGAGACAAGGCAAAGCUCCUGGCCACUGGGUACUGCUGACCAUGUACCCUGAGGGGAUUGGGGCUGGGAAAGUCACCAUUACUGCAGGUGCUGGACACUGCUGAAGCCCUUGGGGCCACCAGAAACCUGGUGCUAAAGAAGCCCUGCCAGGUGCACAAGACAAGUGAGCUCCCAGAACCGGCAACGAAGGGUGAAUCUGGAGCUGAGAGGCAUGAAUAACUGGCACAGGAUGACACACAGUUGUACUUAAUGUGUGAGUCUCAUGGUACUCAGUAAAGCCAAGGAUAUGGGAGGGAAAAAAAGGGGAAAGAGUCAUGGAAAGCCAGCUUCUUGCUGAAACUCCACUAGGUGCCCUGCUGGAAUCUCCCUUGAAAGAGCCUCUAUCCUGAAGAGCGUUGGACCCUGGAGCUGCUGGCCACAUCUUGAUCUGCCAUAUGUGGUCCAAGAAUGAAGUCAACACGAAGGAGAAUGAAGGUGCUGAGGGAUAAAGUUAUUGACAUUCUAGGAGCUCCUGGAUCAAACCAUGCCUGAACUCAAUUUAUCCCUUGAACUUUUCAAUUACAUGAAUAAAUCCUCCUUUUGCCUGAGUCAAUGUGGAUUAGUAUCAUUGGCAUUCAGAAGAUUCCUAAAGUCUCAGGUCUUCUGCACAUCUAUAACCAUGGCAAUUGCGGUCCUGCUCUCCUUUCCCCUCCCCUGAGCAGGCAAGCUUUCCUUCUCUAUCAUGUAAACCUCCUGGGUCAUUCAGAGUAUUUCUCAAAUGUUACCUGGAGUUUCCCAAGACUUCAGUUCUCACUGACCAUUUACUUCUUAAACUGCUAGGAUGAUAACCUAUAACUUUGCAUCUAACCAAUCCCUUAGCACUUUCCUUAGAGACUUCUUAGAGAUCUUUUUGAUGCCUAAGGGUAGGAAUCAGGGCUUCUCUAUCUUGUAUAUGCACUGCCCCCCACCCACAGGUCCAUAGAAUAACAGCUGAGGACCUGUAGCUCUACAAGGGCAGGGACUGUCAAACAUGCCAGACUGCACAUGGUAGUUACCACUAGAGGGCUCUGGGUAUGGGCAAUAAGCAGGACUUCUGCAUUUUACAUCUAUGCUAUCAUUCGAGUCUUGUAUGAGCAUUUAUUUUACAAAUCUCUAUCUUGCAAAGCAAACCCUUAGUGUGAAUAACUGAGGAGUGGUGGAUCGGCCAGCUCUUCCGUGCAGUGUUCUAAAGCCUCUUGCUCCUGUCUCUCCUGUGGGAAACCCAUAGUUACGGCUUCAAGCAGAGACCCAAGCACCACCUCAGGGUCUUGACCUUGUGUGGGAAUAAUCUAUCACCAAGAUGCAGACAGAGACAAACUGCUUCACAGAGCAUUUUAUCCCCUAGAAAAUCCCCAACCCCAGCAUCCUGGGUGCUGCCCAACCUCUUCAAAUACAAAGGCAAAUAAAAUAAAUAAAAGUAAAUAUUGUACUCAUAAGCAACAGAAUGCCUAGCAACCAAGAACAAGGGAGGGCUGGAGGAAGAAGGUUGACUUUCGCAGGCCCUUGUGUAUAAACUGCAGUAAAAGUCUUCUCUGUGUGAAUAAUAUAUUUUUGAGCGUUAAAUUAUAGAAGGUGUAAGGAAUGCUAAGGCUGAGACCCAACAGAGAGAGCUGGCCCCACCCUGAAUGGGAGGGGCAGGGGUCUCCUUGGUCUUUGUCCCUGCUGACUGGUAUUGAGGGAGGGGGAGUCUCCGCUGUAGCUUCAGGAAUGGAACACAGGGCACCAGGCCUCAGUUAAUCCCUUUAGGGACCCUUAGCCCUGAAACAAUGCUGGUGCAACCCCACAUGUAACUCAGAAGAAAAUGUUAAGUCACGAAAUAAAUGUAAGAGCUCUGAUGUUUUUCUAUAACACCCAUUUCAAUGCUUUGUUAGAAAGUAUGUACGUAAAGCACAUGACAUUGUUCUCAUUAAAUUUUUUUGUUACGAAAACUUUUAAACACACUCAGAAGAGUAGGAUUUUUGAACCUCUCAUCUGGGUACAAUAUUAUUAAAAUUCUGC